GCCAGCCCCGCAGGUGUUCCUGGGCCCAGAUUUGGACCUGAGUCCAGGCACUGGCCUGCGCAGUUGUGGGUACCCACAGGUAGCGCCUGUAGCUCUGCAUCUGCGUACAACACGGCCUGACUUCUGUCACCGGCCUCGGCUGCUGUGCACAAGCCCAGAACUAAAGCCUGCAGCCUCAGGAGUGCACAGCAACAGCCAAAGCCCAGCAGCUACUGUUGCGUCUGGAUCUAGUCACCACUCCUUGUUAGCUCCUAACUGGUCCCUGUACAUGGAGGACAAGGACAGACAGAAGAAAGAGGCAGAGCACUUCAGACGGUACUUCUGAAUGGCUACUAUCUGUGAUGCAUUGGAAAAUUGCCGUUCUAUCCCUGGGUGUAUGUGAUAAGAGCAGAGCCUGAAGAAAUAAAAGGUAGCUGGUGCUUUGGUCAUGUCUUAGGAACUGUGUUUCCAAACUACAAGAAAGAAGAGCUUCACCUUUGGCAGACCUGAAAAAGGUGCUGAUAAAAUACCAAAGACUGGAACAACUGGUAUCAAACCAUACUUAUAAUCUGAAUUAGCAUAAGUUCCUGAGAUCAAGAGAUGACUCAGCAGAUGGCAUCUGACAAGUUUCUGAGUUCUAAGCAAUCUGCUAUGGGAGUCCAGAAAGGCAAAUAGCUAAUUCUGAUUGGGUGAGGCCAGAAAGGAAUCUGGGCUGGAUCUCGUGAUUUGUUACUGAAGAACAGAAUACAGAACAAAAUAAUGGGAUAUGACUUCUGAGAUUAGGAUGUAAAAAGAGUCUGGCUUCUGUCUUGUUCAGCCUCUCUUGCUUUCUCAUUUGCUUAUUCUGAUGGAAGCCAGCUGCCAUAUUGCAUGCUAUUCCAUGGAGAAGCCCACAUGGCAAGGAAAUGGGGGUGCAUCCAGCCAACAACCAGGGAGAAACUUAAGGCUCUCAGCUUAACAACCCAAAAAGAACUAAG